rnacentral:rRNA from 1 species
AUACGGAGGGUGCGAGCGUUAUCCGGAUUUAUUGGGUUUAAAGGGUGCGCAGGCGGGAAUUUAAGCGUGAGGUGAAAUGCCAUGGCUCAACCAUGGAACUGCCUCGCGAACUGGACUCCUUGAAUGCUCCUGCCGUGGGGGGAAUGUGUGGUGUAGCGGUGAAAUGCAUAGUGAUCACACAGAACACCGAUUGCGAAGGCAUCUCACGAAGGGGCUAUUGACGCUGAGGCACGAAAGCGUGGGGAUCAAACAGGAUUAGAAACCCUGGUAGUCCGCGCAGUAAACGAUGAGGACUAACCGCCGGCGAUACACUGAUCGGUGGCCAAGCGAAAGCGAUAAGUCAUCCACCUGGGGAGUACGACCGCAAGGUUGAAACUCAAAUGAAUUGACGGGG